rnacentral:misc_RNA from 1 species
CGACGGAGCGCAUCUUGCAUUCGCGAGAUGCACACGCAGUUAUCUUACGUCGCUGACACGAACGGGGAAAGAGGAACAUUAGGGGAGAUCCGGAGAUGUGUCGCCGAGAGAGAAAAAGAGAGAGAGGACUACGAUAGGAGAGACCGGUAAUCAACCAAUGCAGUAACAAAACAGGAGACGAUGUUGCAUUUUCAUCAAGAAGUGCGCGAUCGGGGUCACGAUUAACACUUUGGUGGUUUCAAGCUAUUGUCCAUCGUCCAUCGUUACUGACGUGUCCUGUUUCCAGUAAUAUUCCCAGAAAAUGAAAUAACCUAAUCGAAGAAAUGUGGAAUCAGUUAUCAAGAGGGAAAUUGCUUGCUGUAGCUGGCGCGACCUGGCCACGUCGAUCCGAUCGGCAAUGGCCGACAACUGCAUAUAUCGUGCGAGCGAUAAUGCGCACGAGGAAGAGCGAGGUUCACUGGCGACUCGAUGAACAAAGAUAGGGUCAAGCCGACGUGGGAGUGAAACGUCUGGUCGCAGUAGUGCAUUUACAUUUGUAAUAGAAAUCGUCCGGGUCGUACCGCCUAAUCCGCUCGCGCGGCCUGCAAGAGUUCGGUUAAGCUGAGUGCUGAUCGAACGAGGCAGACGCAAACUGUUUAUUACACGUAACUGUAUGAACGUGGCAAGAAGAUCAAAUUCGGAAUACUUUAAAAAACUUUUAAGGCGAAAUAAAUUUUACUCUAAUCACACAUACGUUGAAGACUAAUUUAGAUAAAUUUUUAUACAACUUUAUUUUUCAAUCUCUUAUACACUGAAAGAAAAAAAUAGUUACAGUCAUCAUAAUAUCACUCAUUUAUAAUCAUUUUUAACCCAGCUAUAUUUUUAUAGUUAUUUAGUAUAAAUUAUAGUUUGUUUAAACUAUAUUAAAGUUCUCACAAUUAUAAUAUUGAUUUAUACAACUUAAGAGAGUUCCGCUGCUAAAUCAAAAUGAACAGAUUUUUAUGAAACUUCGUAGAGAAGUUUAAAUUAGUAGUAUAAAUUGACUAUUGAAAUUUCAGAAAGCUGAACUAGCUAGUUACUUAGAUAUUAAGUAUUUUAUUUACAUGGACUUUUAUAAGAAUUUUCAUGAUUUUUGGGUUUUUACCGCCGUAUUAAAGUAGAAGUAAUAAACAGAUGUUAGUGAAACUUUACAACAAUAUAUCUUAGCUAUCCAGAAAA